rfam:Firmicutes bacterium CAG:534 genomic scaffold, scf120
AAAGUUCUUCGGGGCAGGGUGCAAUUCCCUACCGGCGGUAAAGUCCGCGACCUGCAGGGUUCCGUUUUUAAGAGCGCUGCGGCUGAUUUGGUGAAAUUCCAAAACCGACAGUAAAGUCUGGAUGAGAGAAGAAGCGG